CGAUGUACGCGCGCGAGUCGCCAAUGAGCCAAGGGAUGAAGAAGUCGUCAGGGCAAGUUGUGGUGGAGUGAUGGUUGAGAGUGCAAUCUAUUCUGCUUACCCGACUCAUGCAGACUUCUGUCCUGAUGUUUGGCUGUAGUCCUUCCAUCAUCCACUCUUCUGCAACCGGUCUAUUUAUGGAGACCACCAUGAUCUAAUCGAUACAGAUCUAGUUGUCUCUUCUCCCACAAACUCCUCUUUCAGAUUUUGAGCGGAUCUCCUUCAUUCUGCCGCCAGCUCACCAGAACCUCAGGAUGCACCAGCUGUGGAUAUUACAGGCCAAACUUUGGGUGAGGAUCUUUCUCCCACUGUUCACCACCAAACCUCUUCCUAUAUGUAAACAGUUGUUUAGCACACUGUUGUCUAUAUUUGAAUGGUUAAUUUUUAGGCUGCAACCAAUUAUCUUAAUCAAAUAAUGUUUUAGAUUAAUUUGAUAAAAUGUCACAUUUUAUUUU